GUGCCUAAUACAUGCAAGUCGAACGAACGGAGGAAGAGCUUGCUCUUCCAAAGUUAGUGGCGGACGGGUGAGUAACACGUGGGCAACACUGCCUGUAAGUUGGGGAUAACUCCGGGAAACCGGGGCUAAUACCGAAUGAUAAGGAGUGACGCAUGUCACUGCUUUGAAAGAUGGUUUCGGCUAUCGCUUACAGAUGGGCCCGCGGUGCAUUAGCUAGUUGGUAGGGUAAAGGCCUACCAAGGCAACGAUGCAUAGCCGACCUGAGAGGGUGAUCGGCCACACUGGGACUGAGACACGGCCCAGACUCCUACGGGAGGCAGCAGUAGGGAAUCUUCCGCAAUGGACGAAAGUCUGACGGAGCAACGCCGCGUGUAUGAAGAAGGUUUUCGGAUCGUAAAGUACUGUUGUUAGAGAAGAACAAGGAUAAGAGUAACUGCUUGUCCCUUGACGGUAUCUAACCAGAAAGCCACGGCUAACUACGUGCCAGCAGCCGCGGUAAUACGUAGGUGGCAAGCGUUGUCCGGAUUUAUUGGGCGUAAAGCGCGCGCAGGCGGUCUUUUAAGUCUGAUGUGAAAGCCCCCGGCUUAACCGGGGAGGGUCAUUGGAAACUGGAAGACUGGAGUGCAGAAGAGGAGAGUGGAAUUCCACGUGUAGCGGUGAAAUGCGUAGAUAUGUGGAGGAACCACCAGUGGCGAAGGCGACUCUCUGUUCUGUAACUGACGCUGAGGCGCGAAAGCGUGGGGGAGCAAACAGGAUUAGAUACCCUGGUAGUCCACGCCGUAAACGAUGAGUGCUAAGUGUUAAGGGGUUUCCGCCCCUUAGUGCUUCAGCUAACGCAUUAAGCACUCCGCCUGGGGAGUACGACCGCAAGGUUGAAACUCAAAGGAAUUGACGGGGGCCCGCACAAGCGGUGGAGCAUGUGGUUUAAUUCGAAGUAACGCGAAGCCAGGUGUUGACAUCCUUUGACCACUCUGGAGACAGAGCUUUCCCUUCAGGGACAAAGUGACAGUGGUGCAUGGUUGUCGUCAGCUCGUGUC
rnacentral:rRNA from 1 species